rnacentral:rRNA from 1 species
UACGUAGGGUGGCAAGCGUUAUCCGGAAUUAUUGGGCGUAAAGAGCGCGCAGGUGGUUGAUUAAGUCUGAUGUGAAAGCCCACGGCCUAACCGUGGAGGGUCAUUGGAAACUGGUCGACUUGAGUGCAGAAGAGGGAAGUGGAAUUCCAUGUGUAGCGGUGAAAUGCGUAGAGAUAUGGAGGAACACCAGUGGCAAGGCGGCUUCCUGGUCUGUAACUGACACUGAGGCGCGAAAGCGUGGGGAGCAAACAGGAUUAGAUACCCCCGGGUA